UACGAAGGGGGCUAGCGUUGCUCGGAAUCACUGGGCGUAAAGCGCACGUAGGCGGCUUCUUAAGUCAGGGGUGAAAUCCGGCAGCUUAACUGUCGCAGUGCCUUUGAUACUGUGGAGCUAGAGGGAGGUAGGGGUCUGUGGAACUUCCGGUGGAGCGGUGAAAUGCGUUGAUAUCGGAAGGAACGCCGGUGGCGAAAGCGACGGACUGGAUCUCAUCUGACGCUGAGGCGCGAAAGCGUGGGGAGCAAACAGG
rnacentral:rRNA from 1 species